rnacentral:tRNA from 1 species
GGGCCUUUAGCUCAAUGGUUAGAGCAGGGGACUCAUAAUCCCUUGGUUGGGGGUUCGAAUCCCUCAGGGCCCGCCA